GCGACGUGUUAUGUUAAAUAUGCUAGUCCUUUCAUGAUUAUGUGAUAGGUGGUGCAUGGCCGUUCUUAGUUCGUGGAGUGAUCUGUCUGCUUAAUUGCGUUUCACCAAGGGCCUAUAAUUUUACGUGUGUUGCGGCACUUUGACCCCUCUUUUUUUAAAGAGCGCGUGUCUUGGUUUGCUUAGCUCGCACAAUUAGGUCCUGAAAGCAACGAACGUGACCGCAACCUCUUGUUGCCUUUAUACCAAACGUGCAUAUGCAAUUUUUUAAUUGCUUUGCGCGCAAAAAGGCUUUUUAAACUAGAGGGACCGCUGUUACUUUCUUAAACCAGAGGAAGGUUGCGGCAAUAACAGGUCUGUGAUGC
rnacentral:rRNA from 1 species